rnacentral:tRNA from 1 species
CGGAAGUAGCUCAAUGGUAGAGUACUGGCCUUCCAAGCCAGUCAUGCGGGUUCGAUUCCCGUCUUCCG